AAUCAGAAAACAUGCGCUGAAUUAAAGAAGAAGGCAAUCGAAGAUGAUGAAAUGAAGCGGUAGUGGAGAACGAACAGUGAAGUUUAGAAGGAUUGAAUCUUGUGAUGAAGCCAUACAAGACUAUUACGCUAAUCAUGCUUGUGAUAAAGAUUCGCUGAAGCCACGUCUGGAUCAUCGGAGAAGCAGUCGUUGAAUUCUGUGAGCGCUUUGCGGACACUACAGUGAGAUUGAGAGGUGGUCUGAAGCAUCCCUUCCUAUGCAGUCUUGAAUUCCGUUCAGUCCAAAGAAGCUAUACUCAUCUGUCUUGAGACUGCAGGCGAGAGGAGAACUUCCAUACUCCCAAAAGAUGUCCAAUUAUAAGUCUAGAAACAUGUCUUUAAUGCGCAGUAGUUUGUUUGCAAACCACGAGUGCUUAUGAUUGGUUUUCUUAGUCCAGAAAUUACUUAUAAUGACCCAUUUAGAACUUUCUUUUUGUACAACGCUACCCACAAGAAUACCAAUUAGUGUUGUUAACAUCGUUUCUACGAGAA